rnacentral:lncRNA from 1 species
UCAUGACCCACAAAGGAUCAUUGACCAGAGCAGCAGCCAAACCUCCAUAAGCAGUGUUCAUAUCCAUAACAUUCCGAAUUUUGUCAGAACCAAUCGCGGGUAACAGCUUCUUGUAAUGCUUAGCCCUUGUUUUCCAUUUGCUAUCAUCAUGUUUAAACACGUUACCAUUUCCUCCAGGAACAUCAGAGAUUCUUUCAGGAGUUGUGUGUAAUCUUUCUGGCCACUUGGGAGUAGAUUCCAAAUCCGUCUUCUUUAGCUUAGGGCUUGGAACCACAAC